CUUGCUAAAAUAUAUAUAGCACCUUACUAAGUAUAUAUAUUUCUAUACAUAUACUCAUCUUCGUUUAACCUCAUAGCAUCUCUUCAUGUGAAAUCUUAUCUCCAAUAAUAAAAUUUUCAUAUGUACUUAUAUAACAUUUCUUAGACUAUUCAGUUCACAUCGAAUUUACAGGUAUCGUAAUACCUUAUUCUUAAUAUUCCUUCAAGUACAUAUUAAUUCAUUUCUAGGGUUUUGGAAUUUUGUAACCCAUAUU
rnacentral:lncRNA from 1 species